AGGACGAACGCUGGCGGCGUGCCUAAGACAUGCAAGUCGAACGGAGGCUUCGGCCUCAGUGGCGAACGGCGGAGUAAUACAUGAGCAACGUGCCCCAAAGACUGGGAUAGUCACUGGAAACGGUGGGUAAUACCAGAUGUGACGGACGGUCGGCAUCGACAGUCCAUUAAAUGGUUUUUCGCUUUGGGAGCGGCUCAUGGCCUAUCAGGUAGUUGGUGAGGUAACGGCUCACCAAGCCGACGACGGGUAGCGGGUCUGAGAGGAUGAUCCGCUCGAGUGGGACUGAGACACGGCCCACAUACCUACGGGUGGCAGCAGUUGGGAAUCUUGCACAAUGGGGGAAACCCUGAUGCAGCGACGCCGCGUGGAGGAUGAAUGGUUAGGCCUGUAACUCUUUUAUCGGGAAAGACGUUAGGACGGUACCCGAUGAAUAAGCACCGGCUAACUACGUGCCAGCAGCCG
rnacentral:rRNA from 1 species